GACGAACGCUGGCGGCGUGCCUAAUACAUGCAAGUAGAACGCUGAAGGAGGAGCUUGCUUCUCUGGAUGAGUUGCGAACGGGUGAGUAACGCGUAGGUAACCUGCCUGUUAGCGGGGGAUAACUAUUGGAAACGAUAGCUAAUACCGCAUAAUAGUAGAUGUUGCAUGACAUUUGCUUAAAAGGUGCAAUUGCAUCACUACCAGAUGGACCUGCGUUGUAUUAGCUAGUUGGUGGGGUAACGGCUCACCAAGGCGACGAUACAUAGCCGACCUGGGAGGGUGGUCGGCCACACUGGGACUGAGACACGGCCCAGGCUCCUUCGGGGGGCAGCCGUAGGGAAUCUUCGGCAAUGGGCGGAAGUCUGACCGAGCAACGCCGCGUGAGUGAAGAAGGUUUUCGGGUCGUAAAGCUCUGUUGUAAGGGAAGAACGAGUGUGAGAGUGGAAAGUUCACACUGUGACGGUAUCUUACCAGAAAGGGACGGCUAACUACGUG
rnacentral:rRNA from 1 species